rnacentral:rRNA from 1 species
GUGGGGAAUCUUGCGCAAUGGGCGAAAGCCUGACGCAGCCAUGCCGCGUGGAUGAUGAAGGUCUUAGGAUUGUAAAAUCCUUUCACCGGUGAAGAUAAUGACUGUAGCCGGAGAAGAAGCCCCGGCUAACUUCGUGCCAGCAGCCGCGGUAAUACGAAGGGGGCUAGCGUUGCUCGGAUUUACUGGGCGUAAAGGGCGCGUAGGCGGACAUUUAAGUCAGGGGUGAAAUCCCGGGGCUCAACCUCGGAACUGCCUUUGAUACUGGGUGUCUUGAGUAUGAGAGAGGUGUGUGGAACUCCGAGUGUAGAGGUGAAAUUCGUAGAUAUUCGGAAGAACACCAGUGGCGAAGGCGACACACUGGCUCAUUACUGACGCUGAGGCACGAAAGCGUGGGGAGCAAACAGGAUUAGAAACCCGAGUAGUCC